rnacentral:rRNA from 1 species
UACAGAGGAGCCAAGCGUUGUCCGGAUUGACUGGGCGUAAAGCGCACGCAGGCGGAUACGCGCGUGGGGUGUGAAAUCUGGCCGCUUAACGGCCAGGCGCCAUCCCAUACGGCGUGUCUGGAGCUGUGCAGAGGUCGGUGGAAUUGCCGGUGUAGUGGUGAAAUGCGUAGAGAUCGGCAGGAACACCCAGGGGGAAACCAGCCGACUGGGCACAUGCUGACGCUGAGGUGCGAGAGCGUGGGGAGCGAACAGG